CGGCAAGAGAAGCCCAGCGGGGACGACUCUACCCAGUCAGUCCAGAGGGAGCCGACAGCGCCCCCGGCAGACGGGAGCCAAUGCCCGGACUGUCAACGCAGGCAACAGUCCGCCGACAUCCAGUACGGGGCCAAGAUCCCCGACCGAUACACCUCAUUACAUUACAAACAGCAGUGGUAAAGAAGAUCAGGGUUUGGACACACGAUAACAGGGGAAAAGGCACUGAAACGACUUGGCCACAAAGGAGACCUGGCGCCACCUGGAGGCAAAAGACAACAUUACAACCACAUGGAGUAGCUUUAAGACACAUACUGUACAGUUGCAUGGGUGCUUCAUUAGAAAACAAAUUACAUCUUGCAUGCUACAGUACGCAUGUACAAAAGGUGAGAUAAUUUGUAUCAGCAGCUGAUUGGUCACAUUAAAUAUUCUGAACGGCA